rnacentral:misc_RNA from 1 species
GUUUUUUCUACAUGCAGUGGAAGCUUAAAAACUCAUUUCUUUCUUCGCCAAACUCAUUUCCCAAAUUCAGAAAAUUACAUAACAACAUGUAAAAGGCUUUACAAUUUACACAUACAAUUUAGAAAACCAAAGGAAAAGAGCUAUCUCCAGAGACAUGUCACUUUCUUCUAUGUGUAGCUGUUCUGCGUUUCGCCCACAUCGAACUGUCAACAAUUUUAUCCACAAAACCAAAGUAGGCAUCACUCCAAGGUUUUCUUAUUGCUAAAAUUAGCGUAGGAACAAGAAUCCCAGCUGCAAAUCCCAGACCAACACUCAGGUAAAACCAUUUAUCAAUGAAGCCAUCACUGCUAGUUUCUUCUAUAACAGUCCCUCCUCUAUCUGAAUCAUCACCUAAGCAUUUAAGGAUUAAUGGAGCUCCACAUAGACCGGGGUUCUCAGCAAAAGAGGAAGCAGGGAAUGUUGUCAUUUGACCAGUAUAAGGGAUCAUGCCAGAGAAGUUAUUCUUUGACAAAUUCAAGGCAGACAAAAAUGAUAAUGAGGACAUGCUAGAAGGAAUUGCACCUGAAAGCCUAUUGCUCGAGAGAUCAAGAGAUGACAAUUGCCGCAAGUUUGAAAUGCCUUGAGGAAUGUGGCCAAUGAUUUGGUUCUUUGACAAGUUCAAAGAAACCAAACCCACCAAUUUUGCGAUUUCAUCAGGAAACUCUCCUCGCAAGUCAUUGCCUGAAAGGUCUAUGCUGGUGACCAAGGAAAGAGUUUUAGUGUAUUUUUGAGGCCCCCCUUUUAUAUUCACCACCAAGCUUUCUUGAUAGUAGAGGCCUCUGUACUUCCCAUAGAACAGAUAUUGGUUUAUGUAUUGCUCACGAGACAUGGCUUUAAAAUCUCCAAAAUUGACUGGCAUGCUGCCUGUCAAAUUGUUUACGGCAAGGUCAAGGACCUGCAGUGAACUCAAAUUUGACAGUGUGGGGGGAAUUUCACCAGAAAUUGCAUUUGACCUUAAGCUGAGAAUUCUAAGCCUUGAAAAGCCACCUCCACCCCCAAUCCAUGAUGGAAUCUUACCUGAUAACUCAUUAUUUGCAAGAUCCAAGGUUUCCAAGCUUGAUAAUUUUUGAAAAGAUGAUGGGAGGUUUCCUGAAAGCUUGUUGUUGCUUAAAUGAAGUGACUGAAGCUGAUUUAGUUGGCCUAAUGUCACUGGAAUCAUCCCUGAUAGGUUGUUCAAACUAAGGUCUAGAGCCUUUAAGAAGGAACAAUUCCCUAUGCUUGCAGGAAUGCUUCCCAUCAAGUUGUUGCGUGAGAGAUCAAUAACUUGGAGAUACAGCAUAUCUGCUAUUGAGACCGGGAUAUUUCCUGUCAAUUGGUUAUCUGAAAGAGAGAGAAAAAUCAAGUUUGGCAUGGAUUCACUUAUAUUUUGUGGAAUGGGACCUGAAAACUGAUUUUUGGAGAGGUCAAGUAACUCUAUCUCCACAUCAGGAAGUGGAAUAGGUCCUCCCAAAAGAUUGGAGCUGAAAUCAACAUCUGCAAAUGGAGCUACACUGAAUGGAUUUCGGAGCUGGCCACUUAACUGAUUAAAAGAAGCAUUUAACAAUAAUAGGGUGGAGGUAAUAUCCCAAAACCAGUUGGGUAUGGCAUCAGAGAUGCUAGCAUUGGAGAUAUCUAGAGCCACUACUUUUUUUUGAUUUCUAAGCCAACCUGGAAAAGAAGGACCCAAAUGACAUGAACCUAAAUCCAGAUUCUGAGCCUGAAAUGGAGGUAACCAGUUCGAACUGACAUUGAAAACUAAUGAAUUGGAAGCCAAGAACAAGAAUUUCAGGUUACUAAGCCUUGAUAAAUGUGCUUCAGAAAUAUAACCUGCCAAAUUAUUAAGAGAAACAUCCAAGGUAGAAAGCUGAGAAAGUUGACCGAGACUAUCAGGGAGAGUCCCAUUAAGUUGAUUCCCUGCAAGUCCCAAAUUGGCUAGGUUUUUUAAGUUGCCUAAAGAAGCAGGAAUUUGACCUUGUAACAAGUUGUUGUCUAAAGACAGUUCUGCAAGAUUUUCAAGCUGACCCAACCAGUCUGGCAAAUUGCCCACUAAAUGAUUGCUGGUUAGUCUCAAGUACAUUAAACCUGGAAGCGGACUAUUUGGAAGACAAUUUGUUCCUUCAAGGACUUCAGGUAAACUGCCUGUCAAAUUAUUGCCAGAGAGGUCAAAAGUUUGCAGGUUGCAGAGUUUGCCAAUGAAGCUAGGAAUCCCACCCUCAACAUUAUUGACAAACAGAUCAAAAUUGGUGAGGGUUGACAUGUUUCCAAUGGAAGCAGGAAGUUGACCAUGAAGUUUAUUCACAGCAAAAUCCAGAACCUCAAUCUUCUUCCAACUGCCUUGGAACAGCCGAGAGCAACUAGCAGAAAGAUUAUUGUUCAUAGCAAGACUUAAGUACUGAAGAUUUGGAAGUUCACUAAGACCAAGUGGUAUACUACCAUACAAGCCACUGCUACUUAGAUCAAAAUAUGCUAGACUGCUAACAUUUUCAAGCCAGUUUGGGAACAAGGAGUUAAAGUUGUUGAAACUGAGGUCUAGAACAGCAAGUGAAGUAAAAUUAACCGGAUUAAGAGAUGCAAUGGAACCAGAUAGGCCACAGUUUGAAAGAUACAAGCUCACUAAGACCAAGUGGUAUACUACCAUACAAGCCACUGCUACUUAGAUCAAAAUAUGCUAGACUGCUAACAUUUUCAAGCCAGUUUGGGAACAAGGAGUUAAAGUUGUUGAAACUGAGGUCUAGAACAGCAAGUGAAGUAAAAUUAACCGGAUUAAGAGAUGCAAUGGAACCAGAUAGGCCACAGUUUGAAAGAUACAAGC